rnacentral:SRP_RNA from 1 species
GCCGGGCGCAGUGGUGCAUGCCUAUAGUCCCAGCUACUCGGGAGGCUGAGGUGGGAGGAUCACUUGAGCCCAGGUGUUCUGGGCUGUAGUGUGCUAUGCCAAUUGGGUGUCCGCACUAAGUUAGGCAUCAAUAUGGUGACCUCCUGGGAGCAGGGGACCAUCAAGUUGCCUAAGGAAGGGUGAACCUGCCCAGGUCAAAACAGAGCAGGUCAAAACUCCCAUGCUGAUCAGUAGUGGGAUUGCACCUGUGAAUAGUCAGUGCAUUCCAGCCUGGGCAACAUAGUGGGACCCUGUCUCU